rnacentral:rRNA from 1 species
CCUACGGGAGGCAGCAGUGGGGAAUAUUGGACAAUGGACGAAAGUCUGAUCCAGCAAUACCGCGUGAGUGAUGAAGGCCCUAGGGUUGUAAAGCUCUUUCAGUAGGGAAGAUAAUGACGGUACCUACAGAAGAAGCACCGGCUAACUCCGUGCCAGCAGCCGCGGUAAUACGGAGGGUGCAAGCGUUGUUCGGAAUUACUGGGCGUAAAGCGCGCGUAGGCGGUUAAGAAAGUUGGAAGUGAAAUCCCAGGGCUCAACCUUGGAACUGCUUUCAAAACUUCUUAACUCGAGUAUGGUAGGGGAUAGUGGAAUUCCUAGUGUAGGGGUGAAAUCCGUAGAUAUUAGGAGGAACACCAGAAGCGAAGGCGACUAUCUGGGCCAUUACUGACGCUAAGGCGCGAAAGCGUGGGGAGCGAACGGGAUUAGAUACCCCGGUAGUCCACGCCGUAAACGAUGAGUGCUAGUUAUUGGGGCUUUUUGCUUCGGUGACGCAGCUAACGCGUUAAGCACUCCGCCUGGGGAGUACGGUCGCAAGAUUUAAACUCAAAUGAAUUGACGG